CCUACGGGAGGCAGCAGUGGGGAAUCUUGCGCAAUGGGCGAAAGCCUGACGCAGCCAUGUCGCGUGAAUGAUGAAGGUCUUAGGAUUGUAAAAUUCUUUCACCGGGGACGAUAAUGACGGUACCCGGAGAAGAAGCCCCGGCUAACUUCGUGCCAGCAGCCGCGGUAAUACGAAGGGGGCUAGCGUUGCUCGGAAUUACUGGGCGUAAAGGGAGCGUAGGCGGAUAGUUUAGUCAGAGGUGAAAGCCCAGGGCUCAACCUUGGAAUUGCCUUUGAUACUGGCUAUCUUGAGUACGGAAGAGGUAUGUGGAACUCCGAGUGUAGAGGUGAAAUUCGUAGAUAUUCGGAAGAACACCAGUGGCGAAGGCGACAUACUGGUCCGUUACUGACGCUGAGGCUCGAAAGCGUGGGGAGCAAACAGGAUUAGAUACCCUGGUAGUCCACGCUGUAAACGAUGAGUGCUAGUUGUCGGCAUNNAUGNAUGUCGGUGACGCAGCUACGCAUAAGUACACCUCCGCCGUCGGGGUAGGUACGGGUCGGCGAAGAAUUAAAACUUAACAAACGUAGAAGUUAGUACGGCGUGAGACGUCGCCGACGGACGACGACGAGGGAGAGG
rnacentral:rRNA from 1 species